rnacentral:rRNA from 1 species
AACAGGAUUAGAUACCCUGGUAGUCCACGCCCUAAACUAUGUCAACUGGUUGUUGGGAAUUCACUUUCUCAGUAACGAAGCUAACGCGUGAAGUUGACCGCCUGGGGAGUACGGCCGCAAGGUUAAAACUCAAAGGAAUUGACGGGGACCCGCACAAGCGGUGGAUGAUGUGGUUUAAUUCGAUGCAACGCGAAAAACCUUACCCACCUUUGACAUGUACGGAAGAUUUCAGAGAUGAGAUUGUGCUCGAAAGAGAACCGUAACACAGGUGCUGCAUGGCUGUCGUCAGCUCGUGUCGUGAGAUGUUGGGUUAAGUCCCGCAACGAGCGCAACCCUUGCCAUUAGUUGCUACAUUUAGUUGGGCACUCUAAUGGGACUGCCGGUGACAAACCGGAGGAAGGUGGGGAUGACGUCAAGUCCUCAUGGCCCUUAUAGGUGGGGCUACACACGUCAUACAAUGGCUGGUACAAAGGGUUGCCAACCCGCGAGGGGGAGCUAAUCCCAUAAAGCCAGUCGUAGUCCGGAUCGCAGUCUGCAACUCGACUGCGUGAAGUCGGAAUCGCUAGUAAUCGUGGAUCAGAAUGUCACGGUGAAUACGUUCCCGGGUCUUGUACACACCGCCCGUCACACCAUGGGAGCGGGUUCUGCCAGAAGUAGUUAGCCUAACCGCAAGGAGGGCGAUUACCACGGCAGGGUUCGUGACUGGGGUGAAGUCGUAACAAGGUAACC